rnacentral:lncRNA from 1 species
AUUAGUGAAAAAAUUGUGCUAAAAUACUUUUUCAAGUGCUCCAAUAUAAUUGAGAAUAGAACUUAAUUUUAUUCUCCUGGACUAUGACGACUGAUAUAAAUUCGUGAGCGCGUCUGCUCACUUAUCAGCGAAACUCAGACACUAGUGCUGCCACGAGCCGAUAGAGCGCGGCGAUCACGAGAAACUAUGAUGGCGCGAUAUCCAACGACCUUCAAUCACCAAACAGUGCAUAAACCUUAAAUUGACAACUACUGCAAAUUAAACUCGUUCGUAGUUCGACCCCGUAGACCAAGGCAGCGCUACCAGUGGAUUCUGCAUGGAUUCUGUCAGUGGCGCCAUCCAGAUACCUAAGCGUGAGGUGCAGGAGAGAAGGUUCGGACGGAGCAGCGAGGUGACACGAGU